rnacentral:ncRNA from 1 species
GUAAGUAGAGGUUGCGUUGAUCAUCAGUAGGCAUCGGAUGCGGCAGAAGCAGAAGAAGAUGUCCGAAAGGGAAAGACGCCGAAGGACUGCGGAUUCUGCGGCUGCGGUUCCUGGGCAUGGGAUGAAGAAUCACAUGACUGUCAUCGACACGAUGGGGAGCUACUGGG